AUUGAACGCUGGCGGCAGGCCUAACACAUGCAAGUCGAACGAGUGGCGGACGGGUGAGUAAUGUCUGGGAAACUGCCCGAUGGAGGGGGAUAACUACUGGAAACGGUGGCUAAUACCGCAUACCAUCGGAUGUGCCCAGAUGGGAUUAGCUAGUAGGUGGGGUAAUGGCUAACCUAGGCAACGAGCCCUAGCUGGUCUGAGAGGAUGACCAGCCACACUGGAACUGAGACACGGCCCAGACUCCUACGGGAGGCAGCAGUGGGGAAUUUUGCACAAUGGGCGCAAGCCUGAUGCAGCCAUGCCGCGUGUAUGAAGAAGGCCUUCGGGUUGUAAAGUACUUUCAGUGAGGAGGCGUUACUCGCAGAAGAAGCACCGGCUAACUCCGUGCCAGCAGCCGCGGUAAUUC
rnacentral:rRNA from 1 species